UUCCGGUUGAUCCUGCCGGAGGCUACCGCUAUUGGAGUUCGAUUAAGCCAUGCGAGUCGCGAGUCUUAGGGACUCGGCGUACCGCUCAGUAACACGUGGGUAACCUGCCCUAUGCUGGGGAAUAACCUCGGGAAACUGAGAAUAAUGCCCCAUAGUUCACUACGCCUGGAACGGUGAGUGGAUGAAAGCUCCGGCGGCAUAGGAUGGGCCUGCGGCGUAUCAGGUUGUAGGGGGUGUAAUGUACCCUCUAGCCAUCUACGCGUACGGGUGUUGGGAGACAUCGCCCGGAGAUGGAUUCUGAGACACGAAUCCAGACCCUACGGGGUGCAGCAGGCGCGAAAACUUGGCAAUGCGAGCAAUCGUGACCAGGGAACUCCAAGUGCAUCGGGUAAGACCGAUGCUUUUCUUGACUCUUCAAAGGUCUUGGAAUAAGGGGUGGGUAAGGACGGUGCCAGCCGCCGCGGUAAUACCGGCGCCUCAAGUGGUAGUCGCUUUUAUUGGGCCUAAAACGUCCGUAGCCGGUUUGGUACAUUCGUGGGUAAAUCAAGGCGCUCAACGUCUUGAAUUCUGCGAGCACGGCCAGACUUGGGACCGGGUGAGGUGUGGGGUACUCUCAGGGUAGGGGUAAAAUCCUGUCAUCCUGAGAGGACCACCUGUUGCGAAGGCGCCACACUAGAACGGAUCCGACGGUCAGGGACGAAGCCUAGGGGCACGAACCGGAUUAGAUACCCGGGUAGUCCUAGGUGUAAACGCUGUGGACUUGAUGUUGGGAGUGCUCCGAGCACCCUCAGUGUCGAAGCGAAGGUGAUAAGUCCACUGCCUGGGGAGUACGGUCGCAAGGCUGAAACUUAAAGGAAUUGGCGGGGGAGCACUGCAACCUGAGGAUUGUGCGGUUUAAUUGGAUUCAACGCCGG
rnacentral:rRNA from 1 species